UGCGAGAUCGUCUAAUGGCAAGACUGCGGACUCUGAAUCCGUCAAUGAGGGUUCGACCCCUUCUCUCGCAG
rnacentral:tRNA from 1 species